CAGUCCUACUGCCAGCCUGCCCUAACACACCCUCUGCACUGCUUUCUAUUCUAUACAUGUCCUUAUACUGCCCUCAUUGCCUUAGCACCUUCCAGUAGCGCAUUAAGUGAUAUAACUAAUAUCUGUCAUGUGUGGUUUGUUGUUUCUCUUAUCCCUUCCUCAGGAAAAAGGUUCCCUACCGUGGAUACUCCUGUGGGCCCUUUCUUCCAAAACCCUGCCCCAUGCUGCACUGCAACUAUACUAUUUUCAUUGUCAUGAGGCCCUCCACACCUGCUGAGGUACUGGAGUCUGAAGGACUUAGACACAUGGUUGCAUAUUUACCUGAGCAUCCAUUGUGACAUCAAGAUUUUGGCAGGAUGUCACUAUGCUCAUAGGUCAACACUGCUGUUUCUCCAAAGGGCUCUGUGGUGCCUUAAUUUGCAAGACACAAUGUGUGGGUGAGAGAGACACAGGGAGAGGUGUGCACACACACAGGUUUUGCACUGGUCUAGCUCCAGGGGCAUUCUGUCUGGGGACAUAGACAUUGGAAUGAGUGUGCUGGAAAGCAGUACUGGCCAUUUUUUCAAGCUGGAGCAUGUGCUUCACCUCACAGCUGCUGCAGUCUGCUAGCCUGUGCAGAAGAGGAGUAAGGCCAGGGCACUCAAACUAACAGCCCUGUAGUUUAAACAGCAGGACACUGGCCACAAGGCAUUCUCAGUAAGGGGUCCAUGAAUUAGAACUUAUUUCCUUCUUUAGUCCACCAGAGUCCAGAUUUGGGGCCCUCUUGGUAUGCAGCAAGAUUCAUCUAUUUUCCCCCCCAAAAAAUGUUGGAGAUGGGAAGGUGGUUUGGGGAAUAGAGGGAUGUUCAGGCCUGGAUUAACCAAUCUGCACUCAGUUUACUUGCACUGGACCCCUGAUCUCAAGGAGGCCCUGACCAGCUUUGGGCCUAGGGUUGCCACUUGGUCUGUUUUUAAAGGGCCUGGACAGUUUUUCUCCUUCAUUGCUGGUUACAAUGUUUCUUUUUUCCCUACUUGUAAUUUACAAGUUAUUUGUAAGUUACAAGUCAGUAACUUCUCCCUCCCCAUUGCAACAGCUACUGCACACACAAGGAGGGUUGGGGGGAUGCACUAGCAGCUACUUUCACUAUAGCAUGCAGGUCACAUGACUGCUGGGAGCACUCCUAGAGUGGCACCCGCAUUCCGCUCCAUACGCCAGGCCCUCAACCUGCUGGCAUGAUAGCUAAGACGCCUGCUCCUCUCCUUGCCGGAAAGCAGGAUGCACCCUGUAAUGGCAUGCUAAAUUGUAUUAUACUUUUCAGCCACGUGUAAUAUACCUUAACAAGCUCGCAACAGCUGAGCCAUUCUUGGCAGUACAUUAAAGGAUCUUAUUGCGAACAGAGCUGAGAGGGAAGCUCUGUGACCAGUCCAUAUCUGGUACAGAAACCUGACCUGUUAGUAGCAGCCAUGCAACCUACUGUUUAUAAGGUGUACAUGACAUGGAGUCAGAAGCAAACUAGUGCCAGAGAGAACAGAAACAGAAGGAACAAAGCAACAAAGGUUGCAGACAGAAGGAGGGGAAAAAGCAACAAAUUUUGCAAGAUUUCAUCAACAUCCCUCUGUUCAGUGCCACAGAGAACUUCAGCUGCGAUAAACCUUUCCAAUGGAGAGACUGCAAACAGUAUUUUGCAAGAUUUCACAUUACAACCAAACUCCAAAAGGAAACUAGAAAUAUUCAGCUCCAGUUCUCAAGUACUAUGAUGUGAACAACCCACAAUGGCCAGCAAGGAUGCAAGCAGCUACGGCCUAGGUGGUGUACUGUGUUGCCUCUGCACAGGAGGCCAUCAAAGGCCACGCACCAGCUGCGCAGCCGUGCACAUAGGGAAGUUUUCCCAUGACUUUCUCACGUAAUCCGACAAAGUCACAAUGGCUCCCAGAUCUCAGCAUUACCUCGAUAUUGAUGCUGCACAUAACCAAAUUCAUUCUGCACAAGGAUGGAAAAAAAUAGAGGGAACACUAGUGGUGUAGUGUUGCAACAACAUUGAUUUGAGUUAAAGCCAACUGUAAUUUGCUCUCAUACACUCGCAGAAGCAUAAAAAUAAUAUGGACAUAUUGAAAAAGGAGUGCCUGGCAAGCAUAUGGACACGUGAGAACUUUUUUACAUAUAUCAGUAUUGAUUAGACUCUUAUACAUUGAUAACAGACCAUAUACUGCUUUAAUCCUCAUCAAUGGAAAAGUCCUGAAUCAAACACCACUGAGACACCAAUGUCUUUUUAUAAGAUUAAUGUGAUUUAACCCAUUUGCUAAAUACACCUCUACCCCGAUAUAACGCUGUCCUCAGGAGCCAAAAAAUCUUACCGCGUUAUAGAUGAAACCGCGUUACAUCGAACUUGCUUUGAUCUGCCGGAGUGCGCAGCCCCGCCCCCCCAGAGCACUGCUUUACCGCGUUAUAUCCAAAUUUGUAUUAUAUCAGGUUGCGUUAUAUCAGGGUAGAGAUGUAUGUUGCUGGGAAAAUCUGGUGGUAGCAGACACUGUCAUGGAGCCCAGUAUCUCAUUCAACUACCUGUGAACUAGACGAUGAUGUAAAGUGUACAUGGAUGAUGUGGACACAUACAGACAAGGGUCAGAAAAGAGACCGCACCAACUACAACAAGCAGCCUUGACACACACACACAC